rnacentral:rRNA from 1 species
UGGUAGUGUAUUGGACAACCAUGGCGAUCACGGGUAACGGGGAAUUAGGGUUCGAUUCCGGAGAGGGAGCCUGAGAAAUGGCUACCACAUCUAAGGAAGGCAGCAGGCGCGUAAAUUACCCAAUCCUAAUUCAGGGAGGUAGUGACAAGAAAUAACAACUCGGGCCUCUUUUGAGGUUACGAGAUUGCAAUGAGGACAAUUUAAACCACUUAUCGAGUAACAAUUGGAGGGCAAGUCUGGUGCCAGCAACCGCGGUAAUUCCAGCUCCAAUAGCGUAUAUUAAAGUUGUUGCAGUUAAAAAGCUCGUAGUUGAAUUUCUGGCCGGUGCUGUCCUCGGCUCUCGCAGUCGGCUCAGUGCUUGGUCAUCCGUAUGGGAAGUUAGCUCGGCCUUUACUGGUCGGCUAGUGAAUCAUACACUUUACUUUGAAAAAAUUAGAGUGUUUCAGGCAGGCAAUUGCUUGGAUACUGCAGCAUGGAACAAUGGAAUAGGACUUUGACCUGUUUGUUGGUUUCUUGAGGUCAAAGUAAUGAUUAAUAGGGACAGUUGGGGGCAUUCGUAUUUAAUUGUCAGAGGUGAAAUUCUUGGAUUUAUUAAAGACGAACUUAUGCGAAAGCAUUUGCCAAGGAUGUUUUC